UUUGGGAUGCACUACCAUGGCAUAUACAACUGCAGUGCUCCCUGGUGGAGUUUGGUGGAAGGACACGAGGGAAAUGGAUGAAUUUCUGUAUGUGAAGGAUACCUCUUCACUUUGAGAGAUGCCUUUUGGAGAAAUCUGUCUGAGCAGUGUCAGUCACCAAUGUGUACCCAACAAAGAAACGUCUUGGAGCGCAAGGAACCUUGAAAUGAGUGGAUCAUUGAAGUAGUCUUCACUUCAGCCUUUACAAAUGCACCGUGUUGCUUUGAUGAAGGUAUUUCUU